rnacentral:rRNA from 1 species
CCUACGGGUGGCAGCAGUGAGGAAUAUUGGUCAAUGGACGCAAGUCUGAACCAGCCAUGCAGCGUGAAGGAAGACGGCUCUAUGAGUUGUAAACUGCUUUUGUACGGGGGUAAACGCAGAUAUGGGUAUCUGUCUGAAAGUAUCGUACGAAUAAGGAUCGGCUAACUCCGUGCCAGCAGCCGCGGUAAUACGGAGGAUUCAAGCGUUAUCCGGAUUUAUUGGGUUUAAAGGGUGCGUAGGCGGUCGGAUAAGUUAGUGGUGAAAGCCCGAGGCUCAACUGCGGAAUUGCAUCUGAUACGGGUCGGCUUGAGAGUAGUUGCGGUAGGCGGAAUGUAUGGUGUAGCGGUGAAAUGCUUAGAGAUCAUACAGAACACCGAUUGCGAAGGCAGCUCACCAAGCUACUUCUGACGCUGAGGCACGAAAGCGUGGGUAGCAAACAGGAUUAGAUACCCUGGUAGUC